rnacentral:rRNA from 1 species
AGAGUUUGAUCCUGGCUCAGGAUGAACGCUGGCGGCGUGCCUAACACAUGCAAGUCGAGCGAACAGAAGAAGAGCUUGCUCUUUGGAAGUUAGCGGCGGACGGGUGAGUAACGCGUGGGCAACCUGCCCUAUACAGAGGGAUAGCCUCGGGAAACCGGGAUUAAUACCUCAUAAAACUCUAGUAUGGCAUCAUACAUGAGUCAAAGAUUUAUCGGUAUAGGAUGGGCCCGCGUCUGAUUAGCUAGUUGGUAAGGUAAAGGCUUACCAAGGCGACGAUCAGUAGCCGACCUGAGAGGGUGAUCGGCCACACUGGAACUGAGACACGGUCCAGACUCCUACGGGAGGCAGCAGUGGGGAAUAUUGCACAAUGGGCGAAAGCCUGAUGCAGCAACGCCGCGUGAGCGAUGAAGGCCUUCGGGUCGUAAAGCUCUGUUCUAAGGGAAGAAUAAUGACGGUACCUUAGAAGGAAGCCCCGGCUAACUACGUGCCAGCAGCCGCGGUAAUACGUAGGGGGCGAGCGUUAUCCGGAAUCAUUGGGCGUAAAGGGUGCGUAGGCGGUUAUGUAAGUUAGAGGUGAAAGGCUACGGCUCAACCGUAGUAAGCCUUUAAAACUGCAUGACUUGAGUGCAGGAGAGGAGAGUGGAACUCCUAGUGUAGCGGUGAAAUGCGUAGAUAUUAGGAGGAACACCAGUGGCGAAGGCGACUCUCUGGACUGUAACUGACGCUGAGGCACGAAAGCGUGGGGAGCGAACAGGAUUAGAUACCCUGGUAGUCCACGCCGUAAACAUGAGUGCUAGGUGUCGGGGGGUACCACCCUCGGUGCCGCAGCUAACGCAUUAAGCACUCCGCCUGGGGAGUACGGUCGCAAGACUGAAACUCAAAGGAAUUGACGGGGACCCGCACAAGCAGCGGAGCAUGUGGUUUAAUUCGAAGCAACGCGAAGAACCUUACCAGAACUUGACAUCCUCUGCAUUACCAGUAAUGUGGGAAAUCCCUUCGGGGACAGAGAGACAGGUGGUGCAUGGUUGUCGUCAGCUCGUGUCGUGAGAUGUUGGGUUAAGUCCCGCAACGAGCGCAACCCUUGUCUUUAGUUGCCAGCAAGUAAUGUUGGGCACUCUAGAGAGACUGCCGGGGAUAACUCGGAGGAAGGUGGGGAUGACGUCAAAUCAUCAUGCCCCUUAUGUUCUGGGCUACACACGUGCUACAAUGGCUGGUACAACGAGACGCGAAAGAGUAAUCUGAAGCAAAUCUUAAAAGCCAGUCUCAGUUCGGAUUGUGGGCUGCAACUCGCCCACAUGAAGCUGGAGUUGCUAGUAAUCGUGGAUCAGAAUGCCACGGUGAAUGCGUUCCCGGGUCUUGUACACACCGCCCGUCACACCAUGGAAGUUGGGGGCACCCGAAGUCAGCUAUUUAACCGCGAGGAGGAAGCUGCCGAAGGUGAAAUCAAUGACUAGGGUGAAGUCGUAACAAGGUA